rnacentral:snoRNA from 1 species
AGCCUCCUGGUGAUUACCAUAGGCUCUGCUUGUAAACUGUAUAGAAAAAGCAGACAAAGUAGACCUAUCCCAUAUACACCUCAGCCCAGUCCUAUGCUUAGUCUAUAUUGUGAAUGGGAGAUAUGC